AUAAAGAUGGCAGAUGAAG
rnacentral:tRNA from 2 species